AAGUUCCUUAAAAAGUUCCUAACUUCUUGUUUCAUUGACCAAUCAGAUUGCUCAGAAAUAAAAUAUAAAAUUUGAUUGUUCAAUGAAACAGGAAGUUAGGAACUUUUUAAGGAACU
rnacentral:miRNA from 1 species